GUGUGAAUAUGUAGGGCUUUAAGUGAAUGCAUAAAUAUCAUUUCAGCUCUCUGCUGCUUAGAAAGUAAUGCACAGAUAAGAAGCCAAGGAAUGCAAAUGUAUUUUGGCAUUCAUUAGGCUUGAAAUGUAAAUAAAAAAUGACAUAUUCAUUUAAGGGUUGAUCAAAUAAAACAAGCAAUUUUUAAUGAAUGAAGUUUUAUAGAAGUAAUUUCAAUCCAAAAGAAUUAAGCUUUUAAAUAAGACAUAUUUAUUAUGCUAAAAAACAUGUAUUUUCAUCUUCCUAAUACACUAAAAUAGCACACAGAAUAAUAGUGUAGCACACAAUACAAACUGAUAUGUGCAAUCAAUAAUUCUAAAAAUUGUUGUUUUAAGUCUUUCUUUGGAAGUCCUUAAAUGCAAAAGAAGAAAUUUUUAAUUUUGUUUAAUUUUUAAAAACAUUUUUCAGGGUUUUCUAAUCCGGGUUUAAAUAGUUUAUGCUGAAAUCCCAGUUAAUCUGGCUUAUUCACUCAAAAGAAAGGAAUUGUUUAAAUCAACUAUAAUUAAGCUGAUGGUUGCAUUUCAGGCUUUGAAUUCCGAUCAAGUUUCAAAUUGGUUGUUAUUUUGGAGGUUGUGCUUUCAUGUGCCUAGGUAUUUCUUUGUUUGACUGUGAAAAUAUUUAAGUGUGAAAAACCUAGAAAGAGAGCUUUCUUUUAAGUCACUAAAAUUGGAUUCUUUUGAUGUUAGGAAAAAAAAGACUCUAGAUUGAAGGAAGAAGCUUAAAUUGAUUUGAAAAAUUAAAGUGUGCUUUAUAUGAACUUGUUUCAACAUCCUCUUGAAAGACUGUCUCCCUUUCCCAGUGGUAUCUAUGCUCAGAAAAGUAUGUUAUAGUGGGGGUAUGUUCAGGUGAUUACUUUAAUGCCUCGUUAUCAUAGUAGGAACUAUCCAAUGCAGGGAUUAGAGAAUGGGGUCACCUGAAAGUUCAAAAUUGCACCUGUAUGCUUCAUGCACCUACCUUCCAGGCUGUCAUUGAUGAAGAGCUUCAUACAAUACAAAGUUUAAGAACUGUCUGGAGAAAUACUUACCCAUUGAGCUCUGAAGGAAAGAAUGGACAACAUAUAUAUAUAUGAGGACAACAAAUUACUUGAUUCUAUAGAAACCUUCUGGAUUACAAAAACUCAAGAUAAUAGGACCAAGGAGGAAUAAUCUGACCAGGCAGUAUAACUGGUCAGAAAAGUAGUAGGCCAUUUAGCAUUAGAGUAAGUAGAUAGAA
rnacentral:lncRNA from 1 species